UGAGGGAAAGUUGCAAAGAACUUUGAAGAGAGAGUUCAAGAGUACGUGAAACUGCUCGGAGGGAAACGGGUGGAUCCUCGAAGUCCGAGCGGAGCGGGAUUCAGUGGCGGGCGGCGAGGCGCCUUCUCCGUUCGUACCCGGGUGCGGGGCGUUCGGGGUCGGUGAUCUUCCCGUCAGCCGCGCACUUCUCGCUCCCGACGGACGCCGCAGCCGGUCUGGCGUCGGCAGUGAGGACUGGCCGGGAGAUGGCGUGGGCGGGCGUUUCGCACGUCCGUCCCGAUUCUGUACCGGCCGCCGUCCCGGUGCGACGCCGGUCCGAGGGAAACGUCCGCUCCGGCGGACGAGCCGUGGUCUCGCUCGAGAGAGAGGAGCGGGAGAGUGGUCCGGUCCGACCGGCCGAGUCGUUCACACGAAGUCGUGUUCGACCGGCGAAGGUGCUCCGGAAGGCCGCGACCGACCCGCUGUUGCGAACCGGCGGCUUGCGGCGAGUAGGUCGGUAACCCACCCGACCCGUCUUGAAACACGGACCAAGGAGUAUAACUUGUGCGCGAGUCAGUGGGACUCGAAUAAGCCCACGGGCGCAAUGAAGGUGACAGGGACGUUUUGUCUGUCGCGAUCCCGCAGCCUCCGUGCUCGGGCGCAGCGACGACCCGACGGAACGGCGGUUCUUCCGCCGCUGUCGGUGUCGGAGCGUACAGGUUGUGACCCGAAAGAUGGUGAACUAUGCCCGGGCAGGUCGAAGCUAGAGGAAACUCUGGUGGAGGACCGCAUCGGUUCUGACGUGCAAAUCGAUCGUCGAACCUAGG
rnacentral:rRNA from 1 species